rnacentral:lncRNA from 8 species
CUGACAUGUUGGACACAUAUAAACAUCAUGUAACCUUUUUUUUAAGGAGCACUGAUAUUAAAAUUGGAUAUCUUUGAAUGAAUUAUGUGUAAAAUAAACAUUAUCUUCUGUUUCCAGCUCAGGUAUGACGCACCUGGGUGAAAGUUUUGUUAACAACUCAUGAGGUAAAUGGAGUCCCCCCUUCCAUUUGUGGCCUGGAAUUAUUUGUGUGAGAAGGCUGCAGCUAUUACAAUGUCAGAUGGGCUGAACAACACUCUUUAUAAAGAUGGAUACAGGCCUGAAGCGAGACAAGUCACCGAACACAUGAAGGUAAGCACAUAGAGGCAGUAUGCAAAGGAAGAUAAUAAUUAAAGGACCUAACUACUAUGAUUGCACAAAUCAGCAAAUACAUAGCUGGUCAGUUGACUGAUAUUGGUCUUUGUAUUUGUCUAUUUCAUUCUCAGUAGAGAGCCUUUCCACCAAACCUAUCCAAGAGGUGUCCAACAACAGGUAAGAGUCAUAAACUUCCACACCCAGGUUGUAGAGUGUAGGCACACACUCUUGAGAAAGGCCCCAAUUCAAUCUAUUUUCACACAAUGCAGUAAAGGAAGCACACACUGCAAGUUCAUUCAGAAUGUUUAUGCUGUCUAGGUGUUAACCACGCUACAACUGACACACUCCUCAAGCUAUUUAUCCCAUGGAC